rnacentral:lncRNA from 1 species
AUGGAGAUUCUAUUUUUAUUGCUGGGAUUUCUCUUCUUUGUCAAAGGUUGUACUGGCCUUACUCUUUAUGGAGAGGUCGGAGGGACGGUCGUAUUUCCAUGCAACUCAACUAUGGAGAACAUCAAGUUUAUUUACCUUCAAGGAGGCCCAGAUUUUACUGAUUUUAUAAUUGGAUAUCAUAACAAGAAGAACCUCACUGGGCCCAAAAGACUUCACACCAAAUUAAGCCUUGAAAAUAAAACGGUAACCUUUUGGAAUCUAACCGUCUUAGACGAAGGGACAUACAAAUGCCUCGUAGGCUAUGAGGUCGGCGGUGGAAUUACUGGAGACACUACAACAAGACUCAUCCUAAUUGGUAGGCCGCCGUUCACUCAUUCCCACUCUCAACAAAAACAUUGGUAACAUAUAUCAUACCUAUUACAUUCUACCACUCCAAUCACUUUGUUCUGAAAUGCAUAAAUGCGGGCAGAUCAACUCUUAAAUGUAGGUAUUGUAUAUUUUAUGUAAAGCAUGUAACUUUUUCCAGUGUUUCUAUAAAACAUGAAGUUUAUUUUCAGACCUGGAUUCAUUUCAGAUUUGGCCUCUGGAACUAGGCAGAGGGCGAACACAUGUCAGGCUGACAAUUUCAAUUUGUUUCACUCGAGUUUUCUACAGGCAUUAGAUCUAUUGUGUUUAUUUUUACGCUUUUAUUAAACAAACUCUUUUUUAUGAAAGUCAAAAAUGAAGAAAUAGGGGAUAUGGAUAUCCUUUGCGUGCAGUUUGAGUACCUCACAUCAGAAUUGACAGAACAAUGGUAGGUUUCUAACUCUGACUCUAGCUCCUCCAGCUGCCAGGGGAUUUCUGCGGACUCCCACCACUGGAAGGAUUGGGUUUGCGAUGAUUGGAAUCUCCAUAUUGAACUUUACAGUGUGCAUAAUAUAAGGCUGUGGGGCACAACUCCUCACAGCUAAACUGUACUUGCUGUUAAAGUACUAUGAACCAUUCUUGGUCGGACCCCUCACCUAAGACCACUUUGCCUUGGGAGACCCUACCAGGAGCACUAUGCUCCAGACAGCACAGCCCUCAGGUUCAUAGGGGCACACAAACCUCUCCACCACGAUAAGGUUCCCAGAACCAUGUAAACUAUAUUAAUUAUAAAUUCCAAAACUUUCCUCCUCGAAGGGAACUCCGUUGCAUUCGGUCAUCGACUUGUAUGGCCUUCCUGUAAACACGGACCUACCGGUAAUGCACAGACCUGUAAAAAAGAAUGGUUUAUUAAACUCUUAGUUCUCCAACUACGCUGUUGGCUCUUUGUUUUAUGCGUCGGGACCCUAGUCAUUCUACUUCAGAGAUUUGAUGCUAUUCUGAGCAAUAGUAGUGGUUAAGAAAUGCUGAUUCGGAAGCGUUCGCCGCCCCAAGCCAAAGCACUAUUAGCCAUUUGUCUAAAAAAUAAUUCUCAACGGCUUAUUUUACCUGUUUUCAUACGGAAAUAGACCCUGGGUUAGAUUUUCGCCGGACUAACACUUUAAGGAAACAUGAAGUAGCCUAAAGAAAUUGGUAAAACUAAUAGCCUUAGGCAUUAGGGUAAUAAAACACAUCGGCUCAUAUCUUACGGCAGGAUUGAAUUGGCAGUGCCGGGAUAUUCAGACGAAAGUUAACCUAACCUUUACCAUCGGUUAGCAUAUAGGCUAAUAUAUAAAAAUGACAGGGUUCUAGACUGCAGACAGACAGACAUAUUUAAGCACUGGCAAGAAAAUGAUCACCUACGCAAAACAUUUUCUUUUUUGAAUUUAAAUGAAAAAGUUGGGGGCACAAAUGCUGCUAGCGGGAAAUGUUGUAGUGAGCCGUGAAAGUUGUUAAAAAAAUAUUUUGUUUUUAAAAUGGUCUGGGGGGUAGAAGAUACACAGCAGAUGGAAAACCUCAUCUCUGUUCUUGUGUUCUUUUCACCCGACCAGAGCCCCCUCCGACGCCCAGUAUAGAGACCCAGCCGCUGUGUGACGUCAGUUGUGCUCUGAAGUGUACCGCGGACACCACAGAUCUGGGACCGGUCUCCUACGAAUGGAAGAAAGAAGACGGAGAGUGGACCGAGGGUGACGCGCUGAAGAAUAUCAGCAGUUCUGAUACCCCUGAGAAGUUCUUCUGCAGGCUGAAGACCCGUGUGAGGACCAGCAACACCAGCCUGCCCAUGGAAAAUCCACUCUAUAAACCAGUACCAGGUAUGUCACCGCUGAAGGGUCGUAUGAAGGUCAUUUUGUUGCAAAGGCUUUAAUUUGUAGAAUAGUAUUUGGGAAGUUGUAAGUUUGCUCUCAAUUUGUAUUUUGAAAUGUAGAAUUGGAUAACAAAUCCACACACACGUGUCAGACUGUGGCAUCUGCGCACCUUGACCUUUGCAAAAAAUAGGAUAGGAUUGGAUCGGAUAGGUUUGGUGAAUUUGUUUCUUAAUAGUGUAGGCAUUGUGUACGCAAUGUCUAGCAAACAUUAUCACUUUUCCAAUAGGUUACUUAAACAGGCGGUUUAUUUUUCUCUUUUAGGCCGAACCCUAGCCUGUUCACCUCAAACAUCCAAACUCUCAGUAUAAUACAAAAGGAGAGCCAAAUCAUAGGCUUGACUUAACAUUAGGGUUGCCGCGGUAUACCGUAUUACCGGUGCUACCGGUGUUGAGGCCAACACCGAUUCCUCGUUGUUGCACACCGGCAACACCAAUUUUUAUUUUAUUUUUUUCAGUAAUAAAAAACAAAUUC